GAUGAACGCUGGCGGCGUGCCUAAUACAUGCAAGUCGAGCGAACAGACGAGGAGCUUGCUCCUCUGACGUUAGCGGCGGACGGGUGAGUAACACGUGGAUAACCUACCUAUAAGACUGGGAUAACUCCGGGAAACCGGAGCUAAUACCGGAUAAUAUAUUGAACCGCGUGGUUCAAUAGUGAAAGACGGUUUUGCUGUCACUUAUAGAUGGAUCCGCGCCGCAUUAGCUAGUUGGUAAGGUAACGGCUUACCAAGGCAACGAUGCGUAGCCGACCUGAGAGGGUGAUCGGCCACACUGGAACUGAGACACGGUCCAGACUCCUACGGGAGGCAGCAGUAGGGAAUCUUCCGCAAUGGGCGAAAGCCUGACGGAGCAACGCCGCGUGAGUGAUGAAGGUCUUCGGAUCGUAAAACUCUGUUAUUAGGGAAGAACAAAUGUGUAAGUAACUAUGCACGUCUUGACGGUACCUAAUCAGAAAGCCACGGCUAACUACGUG
rnacentral:rRNA from 1 species